AAGGAAGGAGAGGCUGUUUCUACAGGUGUCAGAGAAAAAUCGAUACUGAGCCAUGGAUUAUUGAAUCCCGUAGAACCAUGGAGGCUUGGCAGUGAAAUUCUUCCAAAGG
ensembl:misc_RNA